rnacentral:rRNA from 1 species
AUUAGAUACCCGGGUAGUCCACGCCGUAAACGGUGGGCACUAGUUGUGGGAACCUUCCACGGUUUCUGCGACGCAGCUAACGCAUUAAGUGCCCCGCCUGGGGAGUACGAUCGCAAGAUUAAAACUCAAAGGAAUUGACGGGGCCCCGCACAAGCAGCGGAGCAUGCGGCUUAAUUCGACGCAACGCGAAGAACCUUACCAAGGCUUGACAUAUACAGGAAUAUGGCAGAAAUGUCAUAGCCGCAAGGUCUGUAUACAGGUGGUGCAUGGUUGUCGUCAGCUCGUGUCGUGAGAUGUUGGGUUAAGUCCCGCAACGAGCGCAACCCUCGUUCUGUGUUGCCAGCAUUUAGUUGGGGACUCACAGGAGACUGCCGGGGUUAACUCGGAGGAAGGUGGGGAUGACGUCAAAUCAUCAUGCCCCUUAUGUCUUGGGCUGCACGCAU